rnacentral:rRNA from 1 species
AACGCGAAGAACCUUACCUACCCUUGACAUCUUAGGAAUCUUGCAGAGAUGUGAGAGUGCCGAAAGGAACCUAGAGACAGGUGCUGCAUGGCUGUCGUCAGCUCGUGUUGUGAGAUGUUGGGUUAAGUCCCGUAACGAGCGCAACCCUUAUCCUUAGUUGCCAACAUGUAAUGGUGGGGACUCUAAGGAGACUGCUGGUGAUGAACCGGAGGAAGGUGGGGACGACGUCAAGUCAUCAUGGCCUUUAUGGGUAGGGCUACACACGUGCUACAAUGGGCAGUACAGAGGGUAGCGAAACUGCAAAGUGGAGCCAAUCUCAGAAAGCUGUUCGUAGUCCGGAUUGAAGUCUGCAACUCGACUUCAUGAAGUCGGAAUCGCUAGUAAUCGCGAAUCAGAAUGUCGCGGUGAAUACGUUCCCGGGCCUUGUACACACCGCUCGUC